ACGAACGCUGGCGGCAUGCCUAACACAUGCAAGUCGAACGAUUGCCUUCGGGUGAUAGUGGCGCACGGGUGCGUAACGCGUGGGAAUCUGCCCUUAGGUUCGGAAUAACAGCUGGAAACGGCUGCUAAUACCGGAUGAUAUCGCGAGAUCAAAGAUUUAUCGCCUGAGGAUGAGCCCGCGUUGGAUUAGGUAGUUGGUGGGGUAAAGGCCUACCAAGCCGACGAUCCAUAGCUGGUCUGAGAGGAUGAUCAGCCACACUGGGACUGAGACACGGCCCAGACUCCUACGGGAGGCAGCAGUGGGGAAUAUUGGACAAUGGGCGCAAGCCUGAUCCAGCAAUGCCGCGUGAGUGAUGAAGGCCCUAGGGUUGUAAAGCUCUUUUACCCGGGAAGAUAAUGACUGUACCGGGAGAAUAAGCCCCGGCUAACUCCGU
rnacentral:rRNA from 1 species